rnacentral:lncRNA from 1 species
ACAAAGAAAAAGGCCAAAAACGGUAGUAGCAGUAAAUUGUGCAGGAAACAUAGUUCAUCUCCGACCAAACUUAAAUCUGAUGAGAGGCAACACAGUAAAAAUAUCAGCCCUAAUCCACAGAAGAAAAGGAAAGGUGCAAAUCCCAAUUCUUGUGGUAGAAUCCAUUACAUAAACAAAACACAAUAUUCAUAGCAAAAUAAAAUUAACUUAAAUCCCAAAUAGAUGUCUAAUAAACUGAAAUCCUCAACAGGAAUUCAUUAACAGAUUACACAAAAGAGUUUCAAGUUCCAACUUCUAUGGCCAUCCCACUCAAUCCUGGCCCGCUUUCAAGUUCAGCAACACUGCACUUGUCAAAAACGAGAGGAUUAGUACUCCAGUGAAAAUAUUCAUAAGAUAUUAUAAACUCCAGAGGAUUAGUAAUUCAGUGAAAGCAUUCAUAAUCUGAAAGCUGAAAUAGCAAAAAAGUUAAGACAUCAACUAAAUGAUUAAUUUCACACUUGGAUAUCUGUGGAGCAAUGACACAAAGUUUUUUCAGAUCAAUCAAUGUUCCUAAGUAUCUGUAAUAAAACCAUCUAGUUCUACAAAUAGUAAUGAAGUUUUGCUUAUAAACAGAAUACACACAAUUUUUCAAAGACAAUUAAUAUAAAAGCAGAACAGCACAUAAAUUGAACAUAGUAAUGACAAUCAAUAGUAAUGAAGUCUUCGACUUUGCUUAUAAACAGAACAGAACAUUAUAAACACUACAGAUCUUUUCUUAUAAACAGAAUAGAACAGAACAUCAAUAGUAAUGAAGUCUUCAAAGACAUAAUAAUUUUGAAUUUUGGAUCGGAUCGGGUUAAAAUUAUACCAAUCUGAAUCCGAUCCGAAUAUCCGAAAUUUUAAUAAACAUAAUCCGAAAUCCGAUCCAAAUAUCCGAAAUCCAAAAUUGAACGGAUCGGUUCAAAUUUCGAAUAUCCGAUCCAAAUGCACAGCCAAAUACCUAACUCGAUGGAGAUUAAUUGGACUCUUCUUCGAUAUUACAGAAUAUCAUGAUGAAUAUGCCAUUUAAGUUGGCACGGUAUGAUUGGUCAUUGAGUAGCAAUAAUAUGAGAAGAUUUAAAAAUUAGAUAAAUCACGUGUGACCAGAUUUAAAGUAAAAUUUCUUGGCUCAUAUUCUUUUUCUUUUUUCCCGUUAAACUGAUGAAACCUUAAUUAACUUCAAAGAUGAAACCUG